rnacentral:rRNA from 1 species
UACGUAGGGACCUAGCGUUGUCCGGAAUCAUUGGGCGUAAAGCGCGCGUAGGCGGCCCGGUAAGUCCGUUGUAAAAGUCAAAGGCUCAACCUUUGAAAGCCGAUGGAUACUGCCGGGCUAGAGUACGGAAGAGGCGAGUAGAAUUCCUGGUGUAGCGGUGAAAUGCGCAGAUAUCAGGAGGAACACCGGUGGCGAAGGCGGUUCUCUGGGCAUUACCUGACGCUGAGGAGCGAAAGCGUGGGGAGCAAACAGG